rnacentral:rRNA from 1 species
CGGAUUGCAGGCUGCAACCCGCCUGCAUGAAGUUGGAAUCGCUAGUAAUCGCGGAUCAGCAUGCCGCGGUGAAUACGUUCCCGGGCCUUGUACACACCGCCGUCACACCAUGAGAGUCGGGAACACCCGAAGUCCGUAGCCUGACCGCAAGGGGGCGCGGCCGAAGGUGGGUUCGAUAAUUGGGGUGAAGUCGUAACAAGGUAUC